UACGGGGGGACGAAGUUGUUCGGAAUUACUGGGCGUAAAGGGCGUGCAGGCGGUCCUGUAAGAGAGUUGUGAAAUGCCCUGGCUCAACCAGGGAAAUGCACCUCUGACUGCAGGACUUGAGUAUGGGAGAGGAUGGGGGAAUUCCCGGUGUAGCGGUGAAAUGCAUUGAUAUCGGGAGGAACACCAGUAGCGAAGGCGGCUCUCUGGACUGAUACUGACGCUCAAGCGCGAAGGCUUGGGGAGCAAACAGGACUAGAUACCCUGGUAGUCCAAGCGGUAAACUAUGGGUACUAGGUGUCGGGGGUAUCGACCCCCUCGGUGCCGAAGCUAACGCAUUAAGUACCCCGCCUGGGGAGUACGAUCGCAAGAUUGAAACUCAAAGAAAUUGAACGGGGGCCCGCACAAGCGGUGGAGUAUGUUGGUUCAAUUCGAAGCAACACGCAGAACCUUACCUGGGCUUGACAUACACAGGACAACCGGUGAAAUCGGUCUCCUCUUCGGAAGUCUGUGCACANGUUCUGCAUGGCUGUCGUCACUCGUGCCGCGAAGUGU
rnacentral:rRNA from 1 species